AAUUCCUUCCAUUUUUUGGGUAGCAGGUUUUAGUUUUUCUUCAUCAGAUAUCAUUCGAGAUGUUCCAUACGAUCCAGAUCUACGCUAUGUGUUUUUUGGAGAGGAGGCCAUCAUGACAGUGAGGUUGUGGACCAGUGGCUAUGAUUUUUUUGCUCCAGGUCAAAACAUACUUUUUCAUCUUUGGAACCGUUCAUGUCGGCCAAAUUUCAGGGAAAACGAACCGACCGACGAUUUUUUGAAGCGAGUGUCUUACUAUAGAAUCAAGCUCAUGCUGGAUAUGAUUGAACUGAAUGAAAUACCACAACAGGAUCAGAAAUACGUUCAAAAAAAUUUAGAUCAAUAUGGUCUAGGGAAAGUGCGCAGUUUGAUUGCCUUCCAGAAAUUUUCAGGUGUUGAUUUCAAAAAAGGAGAAAUUACCGAGCAAGCCAAACUAGGUGGACAACCGAAGAAUGCAUUUGUGGAUUGCAUUUUUGAAAAUUUGGCUAUAUCAGCAGCCACUAUCACGGCAGAAAACGACCGAUCUAGCACGGACCAGUAAUUCACACAUGCAUAUGUAUUGUCUAAAUUUUUUUUUUACGACUGCGUUUUUUUUGAUAUCAAGUGUAUGUCAUUUGCGCGGUGCUUCUACUUCAUUGCUCUUUUAGUGCGAUUAUAUCUCCAAAAAUAGCAAUAUUCAUUUUUGCCAAUGGUUGAAAAUCAUGUUGAAAUUGCAAUGAGAAAGCAAAUAUGGGAUGCUACCGUACCUAUCAUGAUCAACGUCGCUUCGGAUGAUAUCGCAACAAUUGAAAAACCCAGACCCUUAUUUUUGAAUGUGCCUCGUAUAGCCUAUCUCUGUAAUGAGCCUUUGGAACUUGUGCGCGAACAUUUCCUCCCUUAUGUUCUGGAUGUAUCUACUCAGAACUGGUUUGAGGUUGUCGAUGAGCCAGUCAAAUGGAAUUAUCCAGUUGGUGUACUGUAUGAUUCUCAAUGCCAGGAACUGGUCUGGAAUUUGACUAUUCAUUUUAGUAAUUUUCCAACUAGUCGUUUGAUGAAGCUCAGAGGCAAAGAGUUUCGGUCGUUUUUCAUAUAUUCAAUUAAAGAAUCCACAUACGCAAAGCACAGAGAUAUUUCAGCGAUCAAUUCAUUUGGGAUGAAAGAGUUGAAUGACCUUUUCUAUGGAGCAACUGAAAACGACUUUAAUAGAUUCUGGGGAGUAAACAAUUUGAUUCAUACGAAGAUCCGACACAUGCCGAUCCGCGUGCUGCAACCAAGAAACCCGAUUAGACAGAUAGUUGUAGAUUGUAUGGAAGCGGAAGGAGUCGAAAAAUUGGUUACUUUAGGAGAUUUUCUUUUUAGAGAAUUUCCAAAUUGGUUUGAGGAUAUUGAGUCUUUAAAGUGUCAGUUUCUAAUCCAUGGAAUUACGCCGCCGCUUGAAACACCGUUAAUUUGGUUGGCAUGCAAUCUUGUGUAUCCAGACGGAUUCUUAUAUUUAGUGAUUCGGCCAUGCAAAACAGCCGUUAAAAUUUGAAGAUUGUGUUUUUUUUUACGCGAGAGAACGGUGAUUAUUUAUCAUUGCGUUGCUGUCUCAGUUGACCUAAAGCUGAGAAUUUUUUUUACUGUUUACUGUGAACAAAGGCAUGGUACGAGUGAGGUGACUGUAUGGUACAUUGUUUGAUAAGGCGGGCAAAGUUACUGCUUGUAGACAGAGUUUACCUGGAGUGUUUUUGAGAGCAUUCAAAUUUUUGGUGCUGCGUGGCAAUGUUUGUUUUGCUUAACAGUUUUUCUUGGGUCGGUCAUGGCGGAUGAGUGCAGUCGGGAAGGAAAGUGGAAGAGACUGCAGUAAGUGACGACCAGAUAAGCGAGUUACAAGCUGCAUUUGAAUUUUACGGGGCAAAAAAUGACAGGUUGAAGAAAGAAGAUUUGCGUUUGAUUAUGAAUAAACUUAAUUUGCCUGCGAAGAGUGACGUGAUUGAUCGAAUGAUGAAGGAAGGAGAUGUAGCCAAUCUUGGUUACAUGGAUUUUACGGGUUUUAUGACCAUGAUGACUCGCCAUAUGCAAAAAAGUGACAACGAAGCGACGUUGAUGGAGGCCUUUUCAGUGUUUGAUCCGCAGGGAAAUGGAUAUGUAUCGACAGAAGAACUGCACAAGUAUCUUGUGAAAAUGGGUGACCGUUUGAAUGACUCUGAAUGGGAAGCAAUUACAUCGAUUGCGGACAAGGAGGGAAAAUUUUAUUAUUCUGAACUGGUAAAAGAAAUAUUUGGUUCUACCAAAUAAACAAUUUUUUUACGGUCC